rnacentral:misc_RNA from 1 species
AAGUCGUAACAAGGUUUCCGUAGGUGAACCUGCGGAAGGAUCAUUAUCAAUUAGCAAUAUGAGCGCCUUCUUAUUUUUUUAAGAGUAAGGGGGUGUUUCUUUUGUUUUUUUGUGCACUGUUUUUUUUUAAUGGCUUUUGCGAUUAUUUAUUUAAUUGCUUGUAGGCGUUAAAAAAAAAAGAAUGUGAUUUUCUUAUUAUUACUUUAUUUUAUUUUAUUUUAUUUUAUUUUUGUUAUUUGCCUAGCGCAAGUAGCGAAUUAAAUUAAAAUUAAAAUUAAAAAAGACAACUUUCAGCAAUGGAUCUCUUGGCUCUU